rnacentral:rRNA from 1 species
UACGUAGGGGGCAAGCGUUGUCCGGAUUUAUUGGGCGCAAAGAGCGUGUAGGCGGCUUGGUAGGUCUCGCGUCAAAACCUGAGGCUCAACUCAGUUCGCGUGGGAAACCACCUAGCUAGAGUCCGGAAGAGGAGAACGGAAUUCCCAGUGUAGCGGUGAAAUGCGCAGAUAUUGGGAAGAACACCAGUGGCGAAGGCGGUUCUCUGGGACGGUACUGACGCUGAGACGCGAAAGCGUGGGGAGCGAACAGG